GCUAGCGACAGGCCUAACACAUGCAAGUCAGGGGCAGCACAAGGAGCAAUCUGAGGUGGCGACGGCGCACGGGUGAGUAACACGUAUGCAACCUGCCUGUAAGCGGGGAAUAACCCGUUGAAAGACGGACUAAUACCGCAUAAUACUAAAUUACUGCAUGGUAAUUUAUUUUAAACAUUUAUGGCUUACAGGUGGGCAUGCGCAUGAUUAGCUAGUUGGAGAGGUAACGGCUCCCCAAGGCAACGAUCAUUAGGGGUUCUGAGAGGAAGGUCCCCACACUGGUACUGAGACACGGACCAGACUCCUACGGGAGGCAGCAGUGAGGAAUAUUGGUCAAUGGACGAGAGUCUGAACCAGCCAAGUCGCGUGCAGGAAGAAUGUCCUUAAUGGAUUGUAAACUGCUUUUGCAGGGGAAUAAAGUGCAUCACGUGUGAUGUUUUGUAUGUACUCUGCGAAUAAGGAUCGGCUAACUCCGUGCCAGCCGCUGC
rnacentral:rRNA from 1 species